AAAGUCGUAACAAGGUAACCGUAGGUGAACCUGCGGUUGGAUCAUUAACAAUUAUUAUUGAUCUCCCCUUUGGGGAGUUCUCUAACACUUGUGUGAACUGUUUAUUGUCUCUCGGCGUUUUUCGAAUAAGGUUUAACUCUUGUUUGGGAGCGCCAAUAUUUUUAAAACUUUUGUAUUAUACUCUAAGCCUUUAAUUAUAAAUUUGUUUAAUUUAAAAACAACUUUUAACAACGGAUCUCUAGGCUCUC
rnacentral:misc_RNA from 1 species